rnacentral:rRNA from 1 species
UCCGUAGGUGAACCUGCGGAAGGAUCAUUAUCGUAGGGCUUCGGCCCUGUCGAGAUAGAACCCUUGCCUUUUUAAGUACCUUUCGUUUCCUCGGCAGGCUCGCCUGCCGAUGGACCCCCCAAAAAACACUUUGCAGUACCUGUAAUAGUCUGAACAACAAACAAAAAAUUAAAACUUUCAACAACGGAUCUCUUGGUUCUGGCAUCGAUGAAGAACGCAGCGAAAUGCGAUAAGUAGUGUGAAUUGCAGAAUUCAGUGAAUCAUCGAAUCUUUGAACGCACAUUGCGCCCUUUGGUAUUCCUUAGGGCAUGCCUGUUCGAGCGUCAUUUAAACCUUCAAGCUCAGCUUGGUGUUGGGUGACUGUCCGCUGCCCUCGGGUGCGGACUCGCCUCAAAAUCAUUGGCGGCCGGUACAUUGGCUUCGAGCGCAGCAGAAACGCGAACUCGAGGACGUUGUAUUGGCUCCCAGAAGCUAUCUUCAUAAUUUUGACCUCGGAUCAGGUAGGGAUACCCGCUGAACUUAA